rnacentral:tRNA from 1 species
GCAUCCGUAGCUCAGCUGGAUAGAGUACUCGGCUACGAACCGAGCGGUCGGGCAAUCUUCUUUCUGAAUUA